UCAAAGUUGAGAAGGUUCAUUUACUGAUGAGCAGAAGUUGCUCACAAAUUUUUGUGGUACACUAAAGAGAUAUAUUGCUGUGGAAUAAAGCUAUAACAAUAUCUAUAAAUAAAGCUAUUAGUCUACAUGGUUGCUAUAGAUAAUCUGUAUGUAUAAUGAGUGCUAAAGUUAAGGAGUGAAUGGGAAGAAGGAAGUGAGGAGGGUCCCACGUGUGCAUGAGUCUUAUACUGACAUCAAAUGGCAGAAUUCAAGCCAACAUUCCACAAUGUGUUUCUAAGAGCACAUUUUAAAUUCUGAAUGGAGUCUGUAGCUAUGUUAAGCGGUUCAGCUGUAUUGAUCGCAGAAAAGUGAAGACCAUUAAGAAAGGAAUAAUACAACGCCUUGCAAGUGCCUAUAAUUAUUAAUUUAUGCGGAAACCAUUUAUUGAGCCCGUCAAUAUAUCCCCUCCCUACACGUUCUGCCUAUUAUUCUAAAAAUAUUUUCCAGACUGGCUGGAACCUCUGCAGAAAUGAGCCUUAGUACUUUAUCGCACUAGCAAUUUAGAUGUCAACUUCGGCUACUUUUGCUAACGCUAGCUAGCUACUGAGUCUGAAGUCUAUAACGCUAGCGUUACCUACACUGAUGGAAAAACACUAAAAUCAGCAGCUAAUUAUGCGGCCUAUCUGGCUUAGGUAACUUAAGUUAACCUACGUUAUGACGCACUUUGGCUCUUUGGAAAGGUCACCAACAGCCGCAAAAGCGCAAGUUGACAGUGUGAGACUGCCGAAACAUUGUUCCUCAUUAUUUACCGACCAAGGCCAUAAAAUGGCGCGAAGGUGUUAACGCGCUGCCUCAGCUCGAGGGACUAUAAAAUAAUGUUGGUUCUGUUUGGCUUUGAAAUCCGGUAUGACCAAAGGAGGAUGGGUUCACCUUUUGAGUAUUGGUUUCUAGAAAGAAAAUUUGAAUUGAAUUAAUUAUAUAUGGCCUAUGUGAUUUGUAGGCUGCCAUGGUACUUAUGUUUCAACAUUUUCCCAUUUAAAUGUUUGGUUGUUCUUGCAAUAAAUAAACUUGUGUAUCAAUCAUAUUACUCAUGUCCACUACUCUCAUCUAGUUCAAGGCUGGGUGUCUACAAGUCAACUUUCAAGUCAUGUACAACUAUCAAAUCGGAAUAAAUCUGAAAAUAAACGGGUCACAAAGACAAAAAUGUAUGACCAUUUGAGACAGCAGUUUUUAAAAGCUAAUAAUUUGUACUCUUUGUGAAGACUUUACAGUUCCAGGUGUGCUGUUAGUGGUUUUAGUGUGCACUGGUUAUAUAUGGUUUACAUAUACCUCUCCAGAUUCAAAUCUCUCCCUAUACCGAAUCACCCAAAUCCAAGUGAGAAUUCUGCAGGCAAUGAAGCAUUGUUCAAAGUAUUGUGGUUAAUGUCCUGUAUUAUGCUGGAUGUUUAUUCCACCUUAACAGACUUCAUCAGGGCAGCUGUGUGAGGAUCUAGAUAAUAUUUAAUAAAGUACACACAUAAUGCAAUGAAGAUUUCACAGCCGUCAAAGCCGUCAUCUUUGUGGAGGCAUGUUAACAAAUCUUAGAGAACAGGCAGGUUUGGUCUGUAUUCAGUGCAUGUUGAAUAGUGCUUUGUAUAAAUACAAAAAGGCAAGAAACCAGUUUGACCAGUCAUGAGACAAUAAGUGGCAUAUUUUUGGUGUGCGAAAAACAGUCACUAUGAACAUUAGAUGUUAGAGAUGUUCAUUAGCAUAAACCAAAUCUAAUAAAAUGUGCCUUUGUAAAGAUCAAAAACAAACAACCAAAACAAACAAACAAACAAAAGCCCUUGAGAUAAACUGGGUGAAAGCAAGAAGCAAGGUGCUCUUGCUAAAGUAAUGAGCAGUUUUCCCUUUUUAAUCUAAAUCAGGCAUGUUAUGCUUUGACUAGAAUAACAGCAAUCUACUUCUAACCAGCCACAAUGUUUAACUGCCUGAGCACCAAGCACGUGUGCAGCCCUCUACCACUCACCAAGCUGACGUAAACCACGCUGAGACUCCAGGCUCUCAGCCUUCACUCUGCAGUAGCAGCCAACCACAGAGCUGCUCUUUAUUUAUCUAGCGCAUAUCAACAUUGUGGGGAUUUUGAAGGCUCACAAGUGAAUUAAGUGACAGUUGUAUGUGUGCAUAUGUGUGUAAAACAAUAUAAAGUCUCUGAUGGAGCAGCAGUGGGUUAUUUAAAUUAUCAGCUACUGUGUGUGUGAGUGUGUGUGUGUGUGUGUGCGCGCAUAUAUUCCCAUGUGUGUGUUUGUGUGUAUAUUCCCAUGUGUGUGUGUGUGUGUGCGUGUGUGCGUGCAAAUAUUCCCGUGUGUGCAUAUAUUCCCAGGUAAACCAGCACUGAAUUACUACUCAGAUUCACAUUUAGAGGAAUAAUAUGAGUGCCACUGAGUGUUUAGAUACAUAGAUCAGACG